GGUGGAGUCGCCGUUGAAAUACCACUCUGGUCGUGCUGGAUGUCUAACCUCGGUCCGUGAUCCGGAUCAGGGACAGUGUCUGAUGGGUAGUUUAACUGGGGCGGUUGCCUCCCAAAGGGUAACGGAGGCGCCCAAAGGUUCCCUCAGCCUGGUUGGCAAUCAGGUGUUGAGUGUAAGUGCACAAGGGAGCUUGACUGUGAGACCGACGGGUCGAGCAGGGACGAAAGUCGGGACUAGUGAUCCGGCGGUGGCUUGUGGAAGCGCCGUCGCUCAACGGAUAAAAGGUACCCCGGGGAUAACAGGCUGAUCUUCCCCAAGAGUCCAUAUCGACGGGAUGGUUUGGCACCUCGAUGUCGGCUCGUCGCAUCCUGGGGCUGGAGUCGGUCCCAAGGGUUGGGCUGUUCGCCCAUUAAAGCGGUACGCGAGCUGGGUUUAGAACGUCGUGAGACAGUUCGGUCCCUAUCCGCUGUGCGCGUAGGAAUAUUGAGAAGGGCUGUCCCUAGUACGAGAGGACCGGGACGGACGAACCUCUGGUGUGCCAGUUGUCCUGCCAAGGGCAUGGCUGGUUGGCUACGUUCGGGAGGGAUAACCGCUGAAAGCAUCUAAGCGGGAAGCCUGCUUCGAGAUGAGUAUUCCCACCUCCUUGAGAGGGUAAGGCUCCCAGUAGACGACUGGGUUGAUAGGCCGGAUGUGGAAGCCCAGUAAUGGGUGGAGCUGACCGGUACUAA
rnacentral:rRNA from 1 species